GACGAACGCUGGCGGCGUGCUUAACACAUGCAAGUCGAACGGAAAGGCCCUGCUUUUGCGGGGUGCUCGAGUGGCGAACGGGUGAGUAACACGUGAGUAACCUGCCCUGGACUUGGGGAUAACUUCAGGAAACUGGGGCUAAUACCGGAUAGGAGCUCCUGCUGCAUGGGGGGGGUUGGAAAGCUUCGGCGGUUGGGGAUGGACUCGCGGCUUAUCAGCUUGUUGGUGGGGUAGUGGCUUACCAAGGCUUUGACGGGUAGCCGGCCUGAGAGGGUGACCGGCCACCUUGGGCCUGAGCUACGGCCCAGACUCCUACGGGAGGCAGCAGUGGGGAAUAUUGCCCAAUGGGCGGAAGCCUGAUGCAGCAACGCCGCGUGCGGGAUGACGGCCUUCGGGUUGUAAACCGCUUUCGCCUGUGACGAAGCGUGAGUGACGGUAAUGGGUAAAGAAGCACCGGCUAACUACGUG
rnacentral:rRNA from 1 species